rnacentral:rRNA from 1 species
AUACGAAGGGGGCAAGCGUUGUUCGGAAUAACUGGGCGUAAAGCGCACGUAGGCGGAAUGUUAAGUUAGAGGUGAAAUCCCAGGGCUCAACCCUGGAACGGCCUUUAAUACUGGCAAUCUAGAGACCGAGAGAGGUGAGUGGAAUUCCGAGUGUAGAGGUGAAAUUCGUAGAUAUUCGGAGGAACACCAGUGGCGAAGGCGGCUCACUGGCUCGGUACUGACGCUGAGGUGCGAAAGCGUGGGGAGCGAACAGGAUUAGAUACCCCAGUAGUCC